rnacentral:sRNA from 1 species
AGAUAUUUGACUCGUGUUGAGCCGGCGGUCCAACCGGUUGAGCCAUUCAAACCGUGAACCGAGGGCUUCACCGGUUCCACGUCCGGUCCGGUCCUAAUAACUUUGACUGGACGUGACAUAUCCUAGUACUAUGAAUCUGGAUAUACCUCUGUCCAGAUUCAUUGUACUAGAAUAUAUCACGUCUAGUCUUAGGUUCGUUUUUUUGGACGGAGGGAGUUGAGAAGAUCAACCCCCCCACCCCACCCCACCCCAAACACACACACUGUGUUGCGCUGCUGCCACUCUGCACCUCGCAGCGCUGAACGGGAUGAAUCGGAGAGGGGGGAACGAAUUGGCGACCAGAGAGACUACCUAGACCAGACACCCCGCGACCAUAGACCAAUCAGACUAGGUUGUCUAUUCUCCUUUUCUAGACAACAUAAAAACAGAGCAAAGCCCCAAUUCGAAAACCUGUUGUGCAGUAGUAGAGCAGCAGGCAGACGCGACCACGCAAGGUGUGAGAGAACCGGGUGUUCGAGGCCGCCUGCCUCCGUUGACCGGUCCACGGUGCCCCUAGCAGACAUGCCACGGCCAUGCAACGCCGUCCAACGAUAGCGCGCCGUGAGCUACGGUGGUCUAAGGGUGUGGUUGGUUAAAAAGAUAUCCCUAGAUAUGGUUAGUUUUUGGGUUUGUUUGGUUGGUGGGUAAGGGACGAUAGGAUGGAAUAUUCCAUGAUUAUGACUAUGUUAAUGAUAAUAACGGAAACGGAUCGUCUACUGUACAGUUAAUACUGCACAGGUGCUGUAGCGAUUAAAUCAAGCCAUCAGAUUACAUUAGAUGGCUCUGAUUUUGCUCAAUCUGCCCACCACUUACUUGACAGUUACAUGGCUAAGGCCAUGAAAGCUUCAGACUCUGUUUAUACAUAUGUGUGUGCUGUUCAUCUAACAAUAUGCCUCCCAUUUCACAUCUUCUACAAAUAUCAUAAGCAGAGCAUCGCCUCACUGUGAAGUCUACACUUAUUCCAAAGUGUAACACUAAAAAAGUUGUGUAACACUAAAAAAGUUGCAUCGUUCAUUUACACCCUCUACAAAAUAGUGCUCUGAUGAAAAGGUUUCAGGAAGAUUAAACAUAAUACUCUGAUGGAAACAUGUACAAAGGUAACUGCAUGUGUGCCAAUAGUUCAGUACUAAACGCUGACAGAAACUGACAGAAGAAUGCAUAGCAUAAAUUUUCUGUGGCAUUGAAAAAAAAUGAAUGGAUGUUCUCAAAAGUAAAUGUUCAAUGGCUUGAUUUGUUAUUGUCAAUUUGAUACCCAGGUAUCUAGCUAUCUCCCAUCAAAAUUUGCACUGAACCCAAAAUUCCAGGUAGUAUCAAAUAUGUUCUGCUCCAUGCCAUCACCCUAUACAAUGAAUUAGAGUAAUUAGAAAAAUAAUAUUGAUGCUGCUAGACAGUAUGCACUAAAUAUAUAAGUUUUAGUAUAUAUAAGUGGAAUACCCUCAGUAGUUCUGCAUAGCUAUUGAUCCAUCCAUAUUCUUCAGAUCCCUUCUCAUUCGUUCCAUUAGUCUUCUCCACCAGAAUUUGGUUCUGUGCUAUGGAACAAUCCUUCACUUGCUGCUAAGCAAAACCAUCCAGAUAAAAUAUUACUCUAUAUAUAAUCAGUACAUAUAUAGUCUAAUUGAAUAGUACAUAUAUAGUCUAAUUGAAUAGUUCGUAAGUAACAUACCGAGAUAUUUUGUUUGUCAGGUACAACUUGUACCUUCUUUUUGGUGGGAUGCUGCUUAUCAAGCCAAUUUUUCUUUCUCCUUGUGCUACACUUUUGAGUUUCUUUUUUCUUCAGACGUGCAGUGUGCAAAGAGCCGUUUGCUUCUUCAGAUGCAACUUCACCUAGUUGACUAUUAGGUGUUUUUUCAUCAACUUCUUUCCUCAGGCUCUCUAGAACACUGUCCACUAGUGUGCUGCACUCUUUAGAUUCAGCAGCUCGAAUAGCUAUACCAAGAAAUUUGUGAAUAAGAAACUUCAAGAGGCACCUAUCCUCCAAUCUGGGAUCUUCUACGACAAUCUUGCCAUAACAGUCCUCAAUAGCACCAACUCGUGCUUCUCGAGUCCAUCGCUUCAAAAUAUAUCUCUUUGGCAAAGACUUAAUAUUCAUCACAUCAAGGACUUUCAAAGCAUGACUGCACAAUAUUCCAGUCCUUUCAAAUUGUCCACAGGUGCACAAUGCCUAUUGCUCUGCAUAAUUGCCUACAACUUUGCACUCCUCUUCAAAUGUUGACCCUUCACCAGGAGCCUCAAUUGCAACAAUGAAUUCAUUAUGUUCUGAUGACUUGAUGUAUGUAGCCAUGGAUCUUUCAUAUUCAUUUUGAAAAUAUUCAAAUAUACAAGGUGUGU